rnacentral:rRNA from 1 species
AGAGCGAACGCUGGCGGCAGGCCUAACACAUGCAAGUCGAGCGCCCGUAGCAAUACGGGAGCGGCAGACGGGAGAGUAACACGUGGGAACGCGCCCUUCGGUUCGGAAUAACUCAGGGAAACUUGAGCUAAUACCGGAUACGCCCUUACGGGGAAAGAUUUAUUGCCGAAGGAACGGCCCGCGUCCGAUUAGCUUGUUGGUGAGGUAAUGGCUCACCAAGGCGACGAUCGGUAGCUGGUCUGAGAGGAUGACCAGCCUCACUGGGACUGAGACACGGCCCAGACUCCUACGGGAGGCAGCAGUGGGGAAUAUUGGACAAUGGGCGCAAGCCUGAUCCAGCCAUGCCGCGUGGAUGAUGAAGGCCCGUAGGGUUGUAAAGUCCUUUUAACGGGGAAGAUAAUGACGGUACCGUAGAAUAAGCCCGGCUAACUUCGCGCCAGCAGCCGC